rnacentral:rRNA from 1 species
UACAUUGGACACCGCUGUUUCCUUGCCAAGGACAAGCCGCAUCCUAGAAAAUACCGAAGACAUGUGUUCAAUACAAAGCAUGAAAACUGUGAUGCGCCAAAGAGGCUCACCGCCAAUGAGUUGCAAGUGGAAUUAGAGAAGGUCAGGCAUAUUACACUAGGAAACCAUCCUGGUAAUGGUAGCGGGAAAAGGAAGCGUGGCAGGGCAGAAGAGAGAUUAUUGUUUACCCGCAGGUCCACAUUGUGGGACUUGGAGUAUUGGAAAGAUUUGGAUCUCCGGCAUAAUCUUGAUGUGAUGCACAUUGAGAAAAAUAUA